GAUUGAACGCUGGCGGCAGGCCUAACACAUGCAAGUCGAACGGUAACAGGAAGAAGCUUGCUUCUUUGCUGACGAGUGGCGGACGGGUGAGUAAUGUCUGGGAAACUGCCUGAUGGAGGGGGAUAACUACUGGAAACGGUAGCUAAUACCGCAUAACGUCGCAAGACCAAAGAGGGGGACCUUAGGGCCUCUUGCCAUCGGAUGUGCCCAGAUGGGAUUAGCUAGUAGGUGGGGUAAAGGCUCACCUAGGCGACGAUCCCUAGCUGGUCUGAGAGGAUGACCAGCCACACUGGAACUGAGACACGGUCCAGACUCCUACGGGAGGCAGCAGUGGGGAAUAUUGCACAAUGGGCGCAAGCCUGAUGCAGCCAUGCCGCGUGUAUGAAGAAGGCCUUCGGGUUGUAAAGUACUUUCAGCGGGGAGGAAGGUGUUGUGGUUAAUAACCACAGCAAUUGACGUUACCCGCAGAAGAAGCACCGGCUAACUCCGUGCCAGCAGCCGCGGUAAUACGGAGGGUGCAAGCGUUAAUCGGAAUUACUGGGCGUAAAGCGCACGCAGGCGGUCUGUCAAGUCGGAUGUGAAAUCCCCGGGCUCAACCUGGGAACUGCAUUCGAAACUGGCAGGCUUGAGUCUCGUAGAGGGGGGUAGAAUUCCAGGUGUAGCGGUGAAAUGCGUAGAGAUCUGGAGGAAUACCGGUGGCGAAGGCGGCCCCUGGACGAAGACUGACGCUCAGGUGCGAAAGCGUGGGGAGCAAACAGGAUUAGAUACCCCGGUAGUCCACGCCGUAAACGAUGUCUAUUUGGAGGUUGUGCCCUUGAGGUGUGGCUUCCGGAGCUAACGCGUUAAAUAGACCGCCUGGGGAGUACGGCCGCAAGGUUAAAACUCAAAUGAAUUGACGGGGGCCCGCACAAGCGGUGGAGCAUGUGGUUUAAUUCGAUGCAACGCGAAGAACCUUACCUGGUCUUGACAUCCACAGAACUUUCCAGAGAUGGAGGGGUGCCUUCGGGAACUGUGAGACAGGUGCUGCAUGGCUGUCGUCAGCUCGUGUUGUGAAAUGUUGGGUUAAGUCCCGCAACGAGCGCAACCCUUAUCCUUUGUUGCCAGCGGUUAGGCCGGGAACUCAAAGGAGACUGCCAGUGAUAAACUGGAGGAAGGUGGGGAUGACGUCAAGUCAUCAUGGCCCUUACGACCAGGGCUACACACGUGCUACAAUGGCGCAUACAAAGAGAAGCGAACUCGCGAGAGCAAGCGGACCUCAUAAAGUGCGUCGUAGUCCGGACUGGAGUCUGCAACUCGACUCCAUGAAGUCGGAAUCGCUAGUAAUCGUGGAUCAGAAUGCCACGGUGAAUACGUUCCCGGGCCUUGUACACACCGC
rnacentral:rRNA from 2 species